rnacentral:rRNA from 1 species
UACGGAGGGUGCGAGCGUUGUCCGGAAUCAUUGGGCGUAAAGGGCGCGUAGGUGGCGGGACAAGCGUGCGGUGAAAGCUCGGGGCUCAACCCCGCGUCGGCCGUGCGAACUGUUUUGCUUGAGCACUGUAGAGGCAGGCGGAAUUCCGGGUGUAGCGGUGGAAUGCGUAGAUAUCGGGAGGAACACCGGUGGCGAAGGCGGAUCUCUGGGCCUGUCCUGACGCUCAGGCGCGAAAGCUAGGGGAGCGAACAGG